GAUGAACGCUGGCGGCGUGCCUAAUACAUGCAAGUCGAGCGAACAGAUGAGAAGCUUGCUUCUCUGAUGUUAGCGGCGGACGGGUGAGUAACACGUGGGUAACCUACCUAUAAGACUGGGAUAACUCCGGGAAACCGGGGCUAAUACCGGAUAAUAUUUUGAACCGCAUGGUUCAAUAGUGAAAGACGGUUUCGGCUGUCACUUAUAGAUGGACCCGCGCCGUAUUAGCUAGUUGGUAAGGUAAUGGCUUACCAAGGCGACGAUACGUAGCCGACCUGAGAGGGUGAUCGGCCACACUGGAACUGAGACACGGUCCAGACUCCUACGGGAGGCAGCAGUAGGGAAUCUUCCGCAAUGGGCGAAAGCCUGACGGAGCAACGCCGCGUGAGUGAUGAAGGUCUUCGGAUCGUAAAACUCUGUUGUUAGGGAAGAACAAAUUUGUUAGUAACUGAACAAGUCUUGACGGUACCUAACCAGAAAGCCACGGCUAACUACGUGCCAGCAGCCGCGGUAAUACGUAGGUGGCAAGCGUUAUCCGGAAUUAUUGGGCGUAAAGCGCGCGUAGGCGGUUUCUUAAGUCUGAUGUGAAAGCCCACGGCUCAACCGUGGAGGGUCAUUGGAAACUGGGAAACUUGAGUGCAGAAGAGGAGAGUGGAAUUCCAUGUGUAGCGGUGAAAUGCGCAGAGAUAUGGAGGAACACCAGUGGCGAAGGCGGCUCUCUGGUCUGUAACUGACGCUGAUGUGCGAAAGCGUGGGGAUCAAACAGGAUUAGAUACCCUGGUAGUCCACGCCGUAAACGAUGAGUGCUAAGUGUUAGGGGGUUUCCGCCCCUUAGUGCUGCAGCUAACGCAUUAAGCACUCCGCCUGGGGAGUACGACCGCAAGGUUGAAACUCAAAGGAAUUGACGGGGACCCGCACAAGCGGCGGAGCAUGUGGUUUAAUUCGAAGCAACGCGAAGAACCUUACCAAAUCUUGACAUCCUUUGACCGCUCUAGAGAUAGAGUCUUCCCCUUCGGGGGACAAAGUGACAGGUGGUGCAUGGUUGUCGUCAGCUCGUGUCGUGAGAUGUUGGGUUAAGUCCCGCAACGAGCGCAACCCUUAAGCUUAGUUGCCAUCAUUAAGUUGGGCACUCUAGGUUGACUGCCGGUGACAAACCGGAGGAAGGUGGGGAUGACGUCAAAUCAUCAUGCCCCUUAUGAUUUGGGCUACACACGUGCUACAAUGGAUAAUACAAAGGGCAGCGAAUCCGCGAGGCCAAGCAAAUCCCAUAAAAUUAUUCUCAGUUCGGAUUGUAGUCUGCAACUCGACUACAUGAAGCUGGAAUCGCUAGUAAUCGUAGAUCAGCAUGCUACGGUGAAUACGUUCCCGGGUCU
rnacentral:rRNA from 1 species